rnacentral:rRNA from 1 species
UCAGGAUGAACGCUAGCGGCAGGCUUAACACAUGCAAGUCGAGGGGUAACAUUGUGCUUGCACAGAUGACGACCGGCGCACGGGUGCGUAACGCGUAUAGAACCUACCUUUUACUGGAGAAUAGCCUUUAGAAAUGAAGAUUAAUGCUCCAUGGUAUUGAGUUUUGGCAUCAAGACUUAAUUAAAGAUUUAUUGGUAAAAGAUGGCUAUGCGUCCUAUUAGUUAGAUGGUAAGGUAACGGCUUACCAUGACUUUGAUAGGUAGGGGUCCUGAGAGGGAGAUCCCCCACACUGGUACUGAGACACGGACCAGACUCCUACGGGAGGCAGCAGUGAGGAAUAUUGGGCAAUGGAGGCAACUCUGACCCAGCCAUGCCGCGUGAAGGAUGACUGCCCUAUGGGUUGUAAACUUCUUUUAUACAGGAAGAAACACUGGUAUGUAUACCAGCUUGACGGUACUGUAAGAAUAAGGACCGGCUAACUCCGUGCCAGCAGCCGCGGUAAUACGGAGGGUCCGAGCGUUAUCCGGAAUCAUUGGGUUUAAAGGGUCCGCAGGCGGUCGAUUAAGUCAGAGGUGAAAUCCCAUAGCUCAACUAUGGAACUGCCUUUGAUACUGGUUGACUUGAGUCAUAUGGAAGUAGAUAGAAUGUGUAGUGUAGCGGUGAAAUGCAUAGAUAUUACACAGAAUACCGAUUGCGAAGGCAGUCUACUACGUAUGUACUGACGCUGAGGGACGAAAGCGUGGGGAGCGAACAGGAUUAGAUACCCUGGUAGUCCACGCCGUAAACGAUGGAUACUAGUUGUUGGGCAUUAGCUCAGUGACUAAGCGAAAGUGAUA